UACAGAGGAUGCAAGCGUUAUCCGGAAUGAUUGGGCGUAAAGCGUCUGUAGGUGGCUUUUUAAGUCCGCCGUCAAAUCCCAGGGCUCAACUCUGGACAGGCGGUGGAAACUUCCCAGCUGGAGUACGGUAGGGGCAGAGGGAAUUUCCGGUGGAGCGGUGAAAUGCGUAGAGAUCGGAAAGAACACCAACGGCGAAAGCGCUCUGCUGGGCCGACACUGACACUGAGAGACGAAAGCUAGGGGAGCAAAUGGG
rnacentral:rRNA from 1 species